rnacentral:rRNA from 1 species
AUUGGAGUCUGCAACCCGACUCCAUGAAGCUGGAUUCGCUAGUAAUCGCGCAUCAGCCACGGCGCGGUGAAUACGUUCCCGGGCCUUGUACACACCGCCCGUCAAGCCAUGGAAGCCGGGAGUGCCUGAAGUACGCGACCGCAAGGAGCGUCCUAAGGUAAAACCGGUGACUGGGGCUAAGUCGUAACAAGGUAGC